UAUAAUCCAGUUACUGAGAAUGUGACUAUCAAGAGCGAAGGCGCUAUUCAGUUCAACUUCACGCUUGUUUGAUCCUCAAAAGAUUCAAACAAUGAAUCAAAGAAAGGAAAGGGAGCUAGCAUCAGCACCGAUGAUGCCAGUGAUCCAACUACUAAAGAGUUUAAAACUUUAAUUUAAAAACUUUUAGCUGAGAAUGGUUUGGAAAGCCUCAUGUUACACUCCUUCUCAAAUCUGGCUCUUUAUCGAUACCAUUCCUACAA
rnacentral:lncRNA from 1 species